rnacentral:rRNA from 1 species
CGAAGGGGGCUAGCGUUGCUCGGAAUCACUGGGCGUAAAGGGUGCGUAGGCGGGUCUUUAAGUCAGGGGUGAAAUCCUGGAGCUCAACUCCAGAACUGCCUUUGAUACUGAAGAUCUUGAGUUCGGGAGAGGUGAGUGGAACUGCGAGUGUAGAGGUGAAAUUCGUAGAUAUUCGCAAGAACACCAGUGGCGAAGGCGGCUCACUGGCCCGAUACUGACGCUGAGGCACGAAAGCGUGGGGAGCAAACAGGAUUAGACACCCUGGUAGUCCACGCCGUAAACGAUGAAUGCCAGCCGUUAGUGGGUUUACUCACUAGUGGCGCAGCUAACGCUUUAAGCAUUCCGCCUGGGGAGUACGGUCGCAAGAUUA